GGAUGCGAUCAUACCAGCACUAAAGCACCGGAUCCCAUCAGAACUCCGAAGUUAAGCGUGCUUGGGCGAGAGUAGUACUAGGAUGGGUGACCUCCUGAGAAGUCCUCGUGUUGCAUUCC
rnacentral:rRNA from 1 species